UUGAAACACCGAUUCUCAUUCGAUGCCUGAAGUUAAGCAAUGUCAAGCCUAGUUAGUACUUAAAUGGGUGACCACUUGAGAAUACCAGGUGCU